GGCAGAGCUCCGCACCCGCGGAGCCCCGGCGGGGCGGGCAGAGGCGCAGCCCCGGGACCCCCGACCCGCUCCCGAGUUCCAAAAUGACCUUUCCCUGCAUCGUUUUGGAGGUAACCGAGCUGCGUAAUUAUAUUUGCACUUCCAGAAGACUGCAUCAGAGUCCCCUUAUUGGUUUGAAAUUCCAUUAAAUAUAUUGCAAGAGCUCCUAGGUUAAGCUUGAUUUAAAUUUGCAUACAUUUUCAUAUAUUUAGCAGAAAUAAAAGAAGGCUUGCAGCUACCAGAAAGUCAUUAAGGCAUUAGUUUCUCUGAGAAGACAGAUCUGAAGAAAAUUCAAGAAAAUGAGAAAAUAGAUCUAAAUAAGGUGGAGUUGAAUACAGUGGUUAACUACAAGCAAUAUGUUCUGAAGAUGGUGGUGUUCAGACAAAUACCCAAUUUGAUUCUGAUAAAUUGGAUGCAAGACUUUGACCAGCAUGAGAAGAACAGGCAUUGUGGAAGCAGGCAGCAUCCCACACCUGUGGAGGAGCUCAGCAGGAGAACAAAUGGGGGAAAAUAUUCCCAAUGUCUGUUGCUGCUGGUGGCUCAGGGAGUUUGAGCAGAGGUCUGUGGUGGUCCAGCUCGUUGGAAACUUUUGUGCUCAAACCAGGAGGAUGCUCCAGCUGGAGCUAAUUCCUGAAUUUCAAAUCUGUGCCUCCGCCGGUUUUGACACCGUGCAAUGAAGCAUCCGAGCUCUCAGAUGUCUGGCUCUUCCGAGUUGUGAAAUGAGAAAACAAACAAACCCAACCAUUCCAGCCCUGUCAAUCUAUUUCUCCGUGGACAGAUGCCCUGGUGCCGGAAAAGCUUCAUCCCAUGAUCCCACACCUCUUGGCUGUGCCAAAAAAAAAAAAGAGCCAGAGAUCUACUGGACUCAAAAGCAAGACGGUUCCUCACCUCAAAAAAAUGGUGUUUAUGGCCACUCUGGAGCUCCUGGGCUAAGAAUUUGCCAAGGGCAUCAACAGCAGUUUUCCCAGGCUCCAGCACAAGGAUUAUGUAGUCAAUCCACAAAUGACUCAAAUCUUUGAAGAAAAGGACAUGGUUAUCAGAGAGGCUUUGACGACAGCAAGGACGGGAGUGCUAUCUGCCUUUUUCCAUCAGAGAUUCCCAUUCCCUCUCAUUAACAUACUCAGGACAUCAGCACAGCCAUGGGCCCGAGGGAAUCGCUUCCAACUUUUAAGGGAAUAUGCACAAGACCUCGUCCCUGUGUUGUUUCAGACAGAUCAAACCAGAUUUGCCUCGUGUAAGGGUUCUUCAGGCCCACUGAGGAUGUGAUGUGGAAGCUGCUGAAACAAUUCUCCCCUUUUGAGAGGAUAAAGUGCAAUGGGAAUAGGACUGCUCAGUGGAGAAUUCCUCGUGGCAGAAGGAUGGGCAGCAUGGAGAUUUCUGAGAUGUUUUGGAUGUCACUUCCAUCAAGUAGAAGGAAUGUUAUGCUAAAACUGUUUAUCAAAACUGAAACCUCAUGGUUUAUUUUGUUGAAAAAGUCAAAAAACAACCACUGUUUUUUUUUCCCUAGGGCAGAGAUUUUGUGUUAGAGAAGAAAAUGAGAAAACAACCAGGCCCCAAAAGAGGGGAAAUGGGAAAACCUGAGAUUAGAGCAGAGAGAAGGCAUGAAAAUGUGUAAAAGAAAUUUGUUGAAGACCUAAUUGUAUCUAAAAUCCACAAUUGCUUUGAAAUCCAAGGAACUGCUGCCACAUUAUUUGUUUGGAGGGACUCUACAGUCAGAAAAUCCCCAUCACUUGUAUCCCACUUUCAGAAUUACAGUCUAUUCCAUUCUGAAAUCCCAAAAGACAGGUAAAACCCCUGGAUUUAUGACACUUGGGAAUAUUGGAAUUACACACAAGUAGCUGGGUUUUCCCAGGAAUGUUAUCCUGGGAUAUUUGAGUAACACAAGCUCUGGCAGAGGUGCUGGGGGUGUGAUGUGGGCACAGGAGCACUGUGAGUUCACGAUGUCACUGCUCUUCCUGGACAUCCCUCGGCACUUUGGAGCUGGGUAAAUCCAGCCAGGAACCUGCCAGUGCCUUCAGCAGGGCUGGAAUUCCAUCCCAGAGUGACACGGGCUGGUGACAUGGAGUGAUGUCAGGUCACUGAUGUAGAACUGGAAAGAUUCCUUGUCACAUCACUGAUCCCAUUGUGUUGCCAAAUUUCACUUGGGAUUUUUUACCAAGUUUCCAAUGCAAAUAUAUGGAUAACAUGUUUAGGCAUUAUCCUUAAAAAAAUAAUUUCUUUAAGAGAUGGGUGAUCUGUAGAAGACAUUUGUAUAAUUUUGCAUUCUAAAUGUGAUUUAUAUUUAUAAAUAAAUCUGCAUAAAAUCUCCA